rnacentral:rRNA from 1 species
CAAUACUUCGCCGGCGACCGGCGCACGGGUGAGUAACACGUGUGCAACCAACCCCGUACCGGGAGAUAACCCGCGGAAACGUGGACUAACAUCCCAUAAUACUGGAGGAUCGCAUGAUCUUUCACUUAAAAUUCCGGUGGUACGGGACGGGCACGCGCGACAUUAGGUAGUUGGCGGGGUAACGGCCCACCAAGCCGACGAUGUCUAGGGGUUCUGAGAGGAAGGUCCCCCACACUGGAACUGAGACACGGUCCAG